rnacentral:tRNA from 1 species
GGGCGUAUAGCUCAGUGGUAGAGCGCCCGCUUUGCAUCACGCAAACUUGCGGGAGGUCUGGAUUUCGAUCAUCCAUCCGUCCA